UACAACAGGACGGGCAUCGCCCAGCCGUU
rnacentral:piRNA from 1 species